rnacentral:rRNA from 1 species
UGGGGAAUAUUGCACAAUGGGCGCAAGCCUGAUGCAGCCAUGCCGCGUGUGUGAAGAAGGCCUUCGGGUUGUAAAGCACUUUCAGCGAGGAGGAAGGGUAGUGUGUUAAUAGCACAUUGCAUUGACGUUACUCGCAGAAGAAGCACCGGCUAACUCCGUGCCAGCAGCCGCGGUAAUACGGAGGGUGCAAGCGUUAAUCGGAAUUACUGGGCGUAAAGCGCACGCAGGCGGUUUGUUAAGUCAGAUGUGAAAUCCCCGCGCUUAACGUGGGAACUGCAUUUGAAACUGGCAAGCUAGAGUCUUGUAGAGGGGGGUAGAAUUCCAGGUGUAGCGGUGAAAUGCGUAGAGAUCUGGAGGAAUACCGGUGGCGAAGGCGGCCCCCUGGACAAAGACUGACGCUCAGGUGCGAAAGCGUGGGGAGCAAACAGGAUUAGAUACCCCGGUAGUCCACGCUGUAAACGAUGUCGACUUGGAGGUUGUGCCCUUGAGGCGUGGCUUCCGGAGCUAACGCGUUAAGUCGACCGCCUGGGGGAGUACGGCCGCAAGGUUAAAAC